rnacentral:lncRNA from 1 species
GUUUUCUUACUUUCUCUCGAUCGCUUCAAUGCCUAUAAUUUGAGAGAUAAGAGGAAAGCCCUCUCUCGAAUUCGAAGAUGUAACACAAAUAAUGACUCUCUUGCAAUAGUUUUCUUACUUUCUCUCGAUCGCUUCAAUGCCUAUAAUUUGAGAAAAUUUCUCAAUCAUCAACAUGAGUAUGGUAUUAAUGUGUAUAAUGUUUUUACACUUUGUGGGUUUUGUCAGCUCCUUAAGUUUUAGAAAGGAUAGAGUGAAGUGCACAUGACAUAUAUAAGUUUUAUACUCAUUUGCAUUCUCGGAUGAUUAUUAAAUGAAAUUCUUAUUUACCUGAUUAAAUAAAUUCUUGGUUAUAAAAAAGAAAAACAAAAAUACAUCUUACUUUGACGGCUUUGGAUGCUCUGUGCUACUCCUUAUAAGAUUUUGGUCAUACAUCUUGCCUUGUUAUUCUCUCGUAAAAGUAGAGUCCACCGCAGUGGUCUUAGAAAGAGCAUAUUCAUUUUACCAUUUUGGUUCUGUAAAUCAUGUAGUGUUUCUUGAGCUGUCUUCAUGAGUAAACAUAUAUGUUUUUAUUGGUAAUCAGGCUGCAUGCACAAGCGCUGACUCUUGCUGCAUUAGCGGGCGCUGCAGUCGUUGAGUAUUACGACCAUAAAUCAGGGGCAAAAGCAGAAUGUGUUGCCAAGUUCCUCCAACCGCCAGCCCCUCAUCCGCACAAGGAGUGAAUCUGACUUCAGAUGAUGAAUAAAAAGAAACCUGAUUAGGCACAGCUUUAUCUGUUGGGUCAUGCCCCUUAACUUCACAUGGAAGAGUUUUUGGUAAUCAAAUUUCCAGUACUAGAGAGGCUAGAUGAGGCACCUUUCUCUAUUAAUUUUGAUUUUUGUGGGUUAUAGUCGCGAGAUGAAGAAUCAUGAAAAGUGCCCUUCUUAGUAUUUUCUAUCUUUACGAUAAAAUAUCCACAGAUUAAAAAUGUCGAGGGGUAUAUCUUUGUAUCGAGCAUGAAUUGCUAUGUCUGAUAGCCUAUAUGAUUAUUGCGAAUUAAGUUCUUUCUCAUAAUAUAGUUGAAAAUGGUAGUAAUCCUAGUAGAACUUCCUUCGUAUUAAUUGACGAGAUAUAAAUUUUUUUUGUUGGUAUAUGAAGAAAUUUGUCAAGUGGUCCUUCUAUAGAACGACGUUUUAUCACAAGACAUCCAAAAUAGUUGACAAAACUAUAUAAAACAGAAGUUAAAAUGUAAUUAAUCUCAUCAAAAUUUCGUUAGACAACGAGUUCAAUUGACUUUUUUUAUUUAACUAUUUCUAUAAGCUUUACGACAAGGUGGAUAAAGCAUCACGAUAUUAACUGAUAAUGUUGUUUUAACUAGCUCAAAGUUCAGAAGAGUGAGAUUCUUGAUUUCUUUCAUGUCUAUAAUCUUCAAACUUGAGCAUCUUAAUUUCAUCUUUAAUUGAAGAAAGACAAUUAUAUAUUUUCUAAUGUUGGCGAUUCUCU